AUGUCAUCUCCACCAGAGGUUUCCUGGCUCCGGGCGGCCGUGACCCUGCUGGAGUCCGGGGGGGACCUCCAGCCCCCCGGGGGGUCCCUGCGCCUCCUCUGCCGAGGCUCCGGGUUCAAUUUCGGGAGUUUUGGCAUGCAGUGGAUCCGCCAGAGACCCGGGCAGGGGCUGGAGUGGGUUGCAGGGAUCUACAGCGGUGGUGGCAGCACCUACUACGCGCCCUCGGUGCAGGGCCGGCUCACGAUCUCCAGGGACAACGGGCAGAGCUCGGUGACGCUGACCAUGAACAACCUCAAGGACGAGGAUUCCGGAUCCUAUUGCAGCGUGAAAUCUCCUUAUACUGGUGGUGCUGCUGGUGCUGGUUAUGGUGACGACACUGGUGGUUUCUCCACACCCACGCCCCCAGUCCCCAGAGCCCAGACCCUUCCCCCAGACCCCAGCCCCAGACCCAGCUCUUGA